rnacentral:rRNA from 1 species
GAUGAACGCUAGCGGGAGGCUUAACACAUGCAAGUCGAGGGGUAACAUGAGGCAGCAAUACUUUGAUGACGACCGGCGCACGGGUGAGUAACACGUAUGCAACCUACCCUGUACAGGGGGAUAGCCCGGAGAAAUUCGGAUUAAUACCCCAUAAAGAUAUUUAGAGGCAUCUUUAAAUAUUUAAAGUUUCGACGGUACGGGAUGGGCAUGCGCAACAUUAGCUAGUUGGUAGGGUAACGGCCUACCAAGGCUACGAUGUUUAGGGGACCUGAGAGGGUGAUCCCCCACACUGGUACUGAGACACGGACCAGACGCCUACGGGAGGCAGCAGUGAGGAAUAUUGGUCAAUGGGCGUAAGCCUGAACCAGCCAUCCCGCGUGAAGGAAGAAGGCGCUAUGCGUUGUAAACUUCUUUUCCGGGGGAAGAAAACCCGCUACGAGUAGCGGCUUGCCAGUACCCCGGGAAUAAGCAUCGGCUAACUCCGUGCCAGCCGCCGCCGUAAAAC